UAAUUGAUCACUGAGGUCUGCCCUAUUAAAACUAUGUAUAAACGUGACGUGGCUUUCCCCCUCCAGCCGGAAGAGAUAGAUAGAAUGCUUGUUUGCUGCUGAGAGCCUGAAGUACUGCCGGAACCGAGAGUAAAACCCCAAUUUAAGGGAUAAUCAUGGUGACAGACGUGCAGCUGGCUAUAUUUGCCAACAUGCUUGGCGUGUCAUUGUUCCUGCUGGUUGUGUUGUAUCACUAUGUUGCUGUCAAUAACCCCAAAAAGCAGGAGUAGGGUCCGCCAAUAUGAUUGGAGAGGUGAGAUGGGACUCGAUGCCACCACAAUGGAAACAACAUUCCCUCUUGUAGUCCUCUUUCCAAGAGAUGAAUUUCUUUGUACGAUUGCACAGUAGUGUUUUUUUUCCUAAUAAAAAUGUGUGAAAUCUCA